AGGCAUCUGAUGAGAAGCCCCAGCCAAGGCGACCAGAGGCAGGCCUUCAUGCUGCUGGAGAAGAUGCGCACAACCCUUGCCGGGGCGCAGGGCAAGGCAGGGUGUGUGGGGCUGAGGCACAAGGAUGGCCAUGGCCCCGGCAUACAGGGCAGGCCAUCGUCAGGCAGGGCAGAGGCCAGCACAGCGAGGGCGGCCACGGCUGCCCCAUCCACACUCCCCCUUCCUGGCCAAGCAGCUCACCUCAAGACUGGACGGGAGUGUGGAGUACCAGGGUGACCAGGAGCACAGACUGACCAAGGAUGGCAGUGGUGAGGGUGGUGGUGGUGGUGGUGGCCAGCCCCUCCAUCAUCCCCUCCGACUCCUGACUAACCUGCCGCUCGCCCCUCAAGGCAUCACUGACCCCACACACGCAGCAGCCAGAAGGAGCAGGCCGGACAGAAUCCCCGAGACUCUCCUACUUUGACGGCUGUGAUGCGUGACCAAGUGGUGUGUUGGUGCCUACCUCUGGCUGGCCGGCUGUUAUGAUAGAAUUAUGAAGAGCAAGCAGACAGCGCUGAAAGAACGGGGAAUUCUUCUUCUUCCACAAACAACUGCCAAUGAGAGAGUGAAGCGAUGAAUAACAGGGCACUGAAUAACAGGUAGCCACGCCCUGUAGAUUUUGUGUGACAUUUAUAAGAAGAACAUAAGAGCAUAAGAACAUAGGGAGACUGCAAGAGGCUGAAUGGCCUACACAGGGCAGCUCCAGAUUCCCCCCCACUGCCACCUGUCAUCCUCGUCCAUGUAGCUAUCAAGUCUACUCAUAAAACAAGCUGUCAUCCCUGCACUCACUAGUAUGUGAUUGCUGAGUCUAUUCCAUUCCCCCAUCACCCUAUUACUAAGCCAAGGCCUGCCUAGUUCCCUCCUAAUUCUAUACUUUUCUAAUUUAAAUCCAUUACUGUGUGUUCUAUCCUGGUGGCAGUGUGGGUUGCCUGCUGCCAGCACGUCAUCUGGGAGACACACUCGGGUGGCAGUGAGAGGCUGAAGGCGCAGUGCAGGGGUGUGGUGGUGCCCUCAGAGUGGAUUCUGUCCGGGCAGGCGGUGCACCCCAGGCCACACCCCAAGAACGUCAGGUAUUUGGAGGAGUACAAGUUGAAGGAACGGUGCGCCGACGGAACCAUUGUAGCCGUGGCGUGCGCCCUGCCAGACAACACCAACACCAACACCACUGCAGGGAAAAAGAAGAAAAAGAAAUGUGUGGUGUGUGUGUCUCAGGCUGGGAAGGAAGACGCCACAUUAUCACACCAGGAGGAAUCGCUCAAUAGCCUUCAGAACGAUGGUGUCAGUGAGGGCUCAAGGACAAAGAGGCGAGGUGUGGUGUGUGUGUGUCUCAGGCUGGGAAGGUAGACAGUGUAUUAUCACACCAGGAGGAAUCACCCACUGGCCUUCAGAACGGUGGUGUCAGUGAGGGUUCAAGGACAAAGAGAAGGAGAGGUGAGGUGUGUGUGUCUCAGGCUGGGGAGGAAGAGGAAGGAACUGUACAGGAGAAGCAGGAGGAGGCACUUAAUGGCCUCACGAAUGGUGGUUCUGGCUCAAGUACCGACGUGAGGAAGCAGAGGAAGCAAACUCGAAGGAGAGGAAAGAAGAAGAAGUUGAAGGGAGGCGAUGAAGUGGCUGUACCUUAGAGGAAGAACAGGGAUGAAUAGAACAUGAAAAAACACUAGUUACCCCUCACAAUGGCAGCGUUGACUCAAGUACUGACGUGAGGAAACAGGAAGCAAACCCAAAGGAGAGGGAAGAAGUUGAAGGGAGGCGAUGAAGUGGCCGUAACUUAGAGGAAGAACAGGGACAGAUAGAACAUGAAAAAACACUAGUUACCCCUCACAAUGGCAGCGUUGACUCAGGUACUGACAUGAGGAAGCAAACCGGAAGGAGAAGGAAGAAAAAGUUGAAGGAAGGCAAUGAAGUGGCCGUACCUUUGAGGAAGAACGUGGAUGGAUACAACAUAAAAAAAAAAAACACUAGUUACCCCUCACAGUGGCAGUGUUGGCUCAAGUAUUGACGUGAGGAAACAAACCCGAAGGAGAGGGAAGAAGAAGAAGUUGAAGGGAGGCGAUGAAGUGGCGGUACCUUAGAGGAAGAACAGGGACAGAUAGAACAUGAAGGAAGAAGAAAACACUAGUUACCCCUCACAGUGACAGCACUAGUGAAAGGAAGAGAAAGAAGGUGGAACAGGGAGUUAUGUGGCUUGUGUGUGUUGAACUUAAGAAGGCACACACUGCAGGGUUUGAACAGGAAGAAAUGCUUGCCUCACAAUGACAGCACUAGUGAAAGGAAGAGAAAGAAGACAAAACAGAGGGAGUGUAGUGUGGCUUGUGUGUGUUGAACUUAAGAAGGGACACACUGCAGGGUUUGAACAGGAAGAAACGCUUACCUCACAAUGACAGCACUAGUGAAAGGAAGAGAAAGAAGACAAAACAGAGGGAGUGUAGUGUGGCUUGUGUGUGUUGAGCUUAGAAGGAAGACACUGCAGGUUUGAACAAAGAAAAACACUUACUGACGAUGGCUGAGUGGUCGGUGCCUGGAUGCCAUGACCCCAAGGACCCAGGCUCAAUUCCCUCCGCAAGACACUGACAAUUCUUAACCAUCGGCGAGUGGUGGAAUAUUACCCACAUGCUGCCCAGGUCUUCAAUCAACCUUGACUUCAGCGACUUAGGUCAAGAGGAGCACCGGGGGGCAGCAUGGGCCAAGCAGAGUCAUACAUCACAGCAGCCACUAUAAAUUAAAUUUGCCUGUGCCACGAACGGACUGGGGUCUUCCAAGUGGUCCCUCGAGAGAGUCUACUGGUGCUAUAGGCAGAGGAGAAGGAAGAGGAAAAAUGAAAAGAGGAAGAAUUCUGUGGCACUGGUGAAGGAGCAGGAGGAGGAAGAGGAUAAAAAUGGUGAAGGAGCAGAAGGAGGAAGAGGAUAAAAAUGGUGAAGGAGCAGAAGGAGGAAGAGGAUAAAAAUGAAAGAUAAAGAAAUCUGCAGCUACAAUGGAAGAGAGAAAACACAGAAAAAGAGACACAUGAAGAGACUGAAGGAAAGGGAAUGGACAGUUACGACAAGAAGAAGCACUUAAUAGUCCUUAUAAUGGUGGCACUGCUGAAGGAGAAGAAGAAGGAAGAGGAAGAAAGGAAAGAGAAGGAAAUAUGUACCUUGUGAUUUUGGGCUGUGAAGAAGCUGGAGGAAGGCAAGGUAAUGGCAGGACCUUGAGGGAAGAGAACAGACAGUCAAUUACAACAAGAAGAAGCACUUACUAAUCUAUAGAAUGGUGGCACUGCUGAAGGAGAAGAAGGAAGAGGAAAAAUAAAAGAGAGAAAUCUGUGCCUUGUGAUUUUGGGCCGUGAAGAAGCUGAAGGAAGGCAAAGUAAUGGAGGGAAGAGAACAAACAGUCAAUUACAACAAGAAGAAGCACUUUACUAAUCUACAGAAUGGUGGCACUGCUGAAGGAGAACACAAAAGAACACAAAGGAAGAACAAACAACAGCAGACCUGCUGGUCCUUACGAGGCUGUUUGUGACAAGCUACACUAACCAUCUAAUCAAAGGUGGAAGAUGAAGGACAGCAAAGGCGAAGGCUCCUCCCCACCCCCCAUCCCUCCAGCCAAAGCUGGCAGGAAAGGAAAAAGAAACAUGCAGCAUGGAAAAACUGCAUGGAAAUUAUGUAGGAAAGAGGAAAGAACUACCAUUACUGCUAUCACAAACCGGGCGAUAAAAGCGGACAAGGACAAGAGGAUAGAAGGAAGAAGAGGAAAAAGGAAAGAGAAAGAAAUCUGUGCCUUGUGAAUUUUAUGCUGUGACAGUUACAAUAGGAAUUACACUUACUCUCCUUCACAGUGCUGGCAUGUGCUCAAAUUAUGACACACAAAGGAAACAGUCGCCUUCACCAUUACUCUUUCCUUCCUCUCCACUCUUACAAACACUUCUCCCUCUCCCUCCCUCCCAGCCAAACACUGUCAUGGAGCCAUCUGGUCCCAUAAAGCACUAGUGGAAACAAUCGCCUUCACCAUUACUUUUGCCUGUCUCUCCACUCUUACAAACACUUCUCCCUCCCAGCCAAACACUGUCAUGGAGCCAUCUGGUCCCAUAAAGCACUAGUGGAAACAGUCGCCUUCACCAUUACUUUUCCUUCCUCUCCACUCUUACAAACACCUCUUCCUCUCCCUCCCUCCCAGCCAAACACUGUCAUGGAGCCAUCUGGUCCCAUAAAGCACUAGUGGAAACAGUCGCCUUCACCAUUACUUUUUCCUGUCUCUCCACUCUUACAAACACUUCUCCCUCCCAGCCAAACACUGUCAUGGAGCCAUCUGGUCCCAUAAAGCACUAGUAUUUUUAGAAUGGCAAAAACAUGUAUAAUGAGCUCACAGCGAAACAGUGCGCGCGACCUUUUGUAUACUUGGACUUUUGUCGCGGCAGAAAACAAACAUGAUAUACAGAGAGAAAGGAGCUGCCUCGUACAGGCCUACCGGCCUCUUGCAGACUCCUGCGUUCUUAUGUUCAAACAGACAACAUGGAAGGAAGGCGAUGAAAGGCGGUCACUUCAACUUGACAGGGGUGGAAGGAAGUGUGAGAGGUGAAGAAGGAAGGAGAAAGAGAACAUCCCAUCACACUGCCCCUCACAACACUGGUGCUAAGAAAAGACAAAGAAGAAAAGUAAAAUAAGAAAGAAAGGUGUAGCUUGUGGCUCUCAGGAAUGUUAAUUAGGCUGUGACACUUGCAAUAGAGAAAACACUUUAGUGGUGGCGUGGACUCAAGUUCUGACUCACACGAAGAACAGCUGAAACAAAUGUGAAAUAAAGUGUGUGUGUGUGUGUGUGUGUGUGUGUGUGUGUGUGUGUGUGUGUGUGUGUGUGUGUACCUAUUUGCAGUAUACAGGGCCUCAGCUCAAGCAUGGUCAGUCCUGUCUCCCAAUCUAUAUUUGUCUAGCUUUUUCUUCAUUUUCUGGUCACUGCCCGCCUCAACAAGGUCUUUGCUUCGUCCAUUCCAUGUAUCCACACUCCUGUAUGGAAAACUGCAUGUCUUUCAAACAAGUCCCCUUUCUCAAUUUCUUGCUGUGUCCUCUUAGUUGCCUCCUCCCUUCCAUCGCGAUUAAGUCAUUUAUAUCCAACACUUCCAUGCCACUCGUAUUCUCAUAAAAAUUACAUCUCAUCCCUUCUCCAUCUUCAUACAAGACUAACCAUCAUAUUUUUGUAACAUUUCGGCGCCCAGGCACACAGAUUCAACAAGGCUUUCGUAUGAGUUGUAGGAGGCAUUUCCAGGGAUAGUUUCAUGGCCCUGGUGGUAGUUUGACCCUUCUUCUGUAACAGGAACUUGAAAUGCCACCCUUUAGAGCCCGACUGAUCUCCUUUUAUGCCUUUGGAAAUAGUUGAUGUGAGGGGCGGAAGUGUUUGAGAAUACCAACCCUCUUAGUAUCUCCAUCUCUCCAGUGCUUUCAUCUCCUUUAUGACAAUCUUCUCUCACUUAAAAACUAAUUCUCAUCCUUCUCCAGUUUCCUAUAAGACUUAGUGUAGCUCUUUGAUCUCAUUGUAAUGAACUCCAUCUCUUUGAUCCUUUCCUCUCUUCCUUCUCAUGUUCUUUUGGGUUCUCUUUAGAGGGAGAAUUAAAGGUUGGAAACUGGACUCUGAACUCAGACCCUCAGAGCUCAGCAUUCACCACUUCCAGCCGUUGUGUAAUAUAGUGGUAUUUGUAGUAGUAGUAGUAAUAGUAGUAUCAGGUCCUCUGCAUGCUUCUAAUAUAUUCCACAUUUCUUCUGUUCUCUUAUUUUUACAACAUAUUUCUCUCUCCUCUGUGCCGGCUCCAUUCAAACAAGACUUUCUGUAUCUCCAUAUUUAUUCAGUUAACUUACAUUGUGUUUACAUUAAUGCAAGAGAGAGAGAGAUUAUUUAUGUGUUGGGGGGUCUUGUGUCUGUGGGCUUUGUAAACAUACUGUGGGGUGACAUCCUGUGGGGCCUGUGGCUGAGAGAGAGAGAGAGAGAGAGAGAGAGAGAGAGAGAGAGAGAGAGAGAGAGAGAGAGAGAGAUUUAUGUCUCAGCAUUGCACUGUCACUAUCAGGCUGCUCCUAACGUGCCACUCACUGGAGGUCACUGAUCAGGUGUGUGCAGCCAGGCUUGGGCGCCAGAUUUGACCCAAUGUGGACAAAUUUCCCACGUCCACACAUGAGGUCAAUCUGCCGCCCAUGCAUGGCUGCAGACACCCACCCUAAUCAGUGCGCUGCUAACACGUCCGCUGCGAUUGGCACAGAUCUGGUUUUCACUAGUAGCCUGAUAACAUAUACUCCCAGGUCUUUCUCUGCCUCUGUGGUGGAUAGUGGAGUGUUUCCCAUGUGGCUUCCCAUGUGGCAUUGGUAUGCUGGAUAUCCCCUCCCAAGGUGCAGUACUUUACAUUUUUCUUCAUUGGAUUGUAGCAGCCACUUUUUGUUCCAUUCCUGUUGCUUGGUGAGGUUUUCUUAUAGGAAAUCCGCAGUCAAGGGGUUAACGGUGACAGCAUCGUCUUAGUGCCAGCCAGACAGUGACAGUUCCCAGGGCACCCAAACAGUGACAUAAACUGCUGUGGGAAGCUUUAAAAUUGGUGCAUCAGGAAUGAGAGCAUUUCAAGCUUGGAACACAUAUCCCUUACAUCAAAUCAAAAUAUAUUAGUAUUUCCAUGAGAGAGAGAGAGAGAGAGAGAGAGAGAGAGAGAGAGAGAUUCCUUUUCCCAACUCAGACUUUGGUGAAGAGAUUAAAUUUGUAUUAGUAUUAAGUAAAUAAAUAAAUGAUAUAAAAAAAUGGCUUGAGUCUAGGCCCCUGAGAGAGAGAUUGUGUUGUGCUUGCCACUCAUCUUUUUCUUGUAUAUUUGAGUCCGUGAAGCAUUAGUGACGUGGCAAUAACAAUUUAAAAUCUCAAAGUGUGUACCUCACAGUGCUGGGGAUGGACCCGGCCCUUGCAAUAAAAGUUGGGGCAGCACAUCAACUGAGUCCCUUAUGAGCAGCUCCUCCUCCUCCUACUUAUAGUCGUCCUAUAUAAUAUGGAAGCAGAAGGAAGUGUAAAUGAAAGUAAAGGAGUGUAUUGAACAAGUGCAUUAGUCUCACCAUCAGUCAUCAUUCCCUCAAUGUCCACACUGCUAGGCUGGGACGUCAGGUGUAGUGCCGCAGAAUUGGCCCCUGGCACGAUGGUUGAGUUCGCUUGCUGCCCUGGCUUGUACUCUGAAGGCCUGGGUUCCCUCAGUGCACGUACGAGACUAGUGAAACAUUAUUAUUAUUGUUAUUAGUAUUAUCAUGGAAAUACACAAGAAUGACAAAACUAAUGCAUCUGUUCAAUAUACACCCAUGCCUUAAUAUACUUUCUCUUGCAUGCAAAUUAUAGGGGAAGGAGAUGGGAAGAUUUAGAAGAGGAAAAAUAGGAGGAGGAGGAACUAAGGAAAAAUAUUAUAGAUGAGGAUUUGUAGGAGUGGAACAAAGGAAAAAAACAUAGAAAAUAAGAAAGAGGAGGAGGAGGAGGAACAGAAAAGGAGGUGUAGUGAAAACUGUGAAAAGAGAAAUAUAAGAAAGACGUAAGUUUAGAAGAGGAGGAGGAGGAGGAGGAACAGAGGAAGAAAAUUAUAGCUAGAGGAGGAUCCGUAAGAGGAGAAAUGACGGACGAAAAUAAAUGAUGGAAAUAGAGAAAACAAGGAAGAGGAGGAGAAGGAGGAGGAAGAGAGAAGUAUAAUAAAGACAUAAGUAUAGAAGAGGAGGAGGAGGAGGAGGAGGAAAAGUAGGAGAAGAAACGAAGGAUAAAAUUAAGGAAGGAAAUAGAGAAAACAAGGAGGAGGAGGAGGAAGAGAAGUAUAAGAAAGACAAGAUUACAAGAGGAGAAGAGGAGGAGGAGGAGGAGGAGGAGGAGCAGGAAAAGUAGGAGAAGAAACGAAGGAUAAAAUUAAGGAAGGAAAUAGAGAAAACAAGGAGGAAGAGGAGGAAGAGAAGUAUAAGAAAGACAUAAGAUUACAAGAGGAGAAGAGGAGGAGGAGGAGGAGGAGGAGGAGGAGGAGAAACGAAGGAAGAAAACUAACGAUGGAGAUAUAGAAAAAAAAGGAAGAGGAGGAGGAAAAACGGAGAAAAGGAAAAAUAUAUAAAAAAACUGAGAAGAAGAAAUAAUAAGCAGGAGAAUAAAGGAAGAAAGGGCAGAAAGGGGGAGAGAGGAAGGAAGAGGAGAAAUAGAAAGGAAAAAGACAAAAUUAUAUAAAACGAAUCCUUGGAGAGGAAGAGGAGAGGUCAAAGAAGGAUGAGGAGGAGAAGGAGCAAAGGAAGAAAAGUAAGAAAGGAAAGAGGAAGGAGGAGGAGGAGGAGGAGGAAAAAGUAGAAAGGAAAGAGAGAUAAAUGAGAUAAAAAUGAAUCCUAUAGGAAGAGGAGAGGGAGGGGAAGCGAUAAAGAAGGAGGAGGAGGAGGAGAAGGAUAAAGAAUGACAUAUAUCAGAAAGGAAGAAAAAUAAAGGAAAGAAGAAAUAAAUGACAAAAUAAUAUAGGAAGAAAAGAAGAAGUAGAAGAAAAAGACAAAGAAGAAGAGGAGAAGAAAAUAUAUAAUAGGAAGGAGGAAAACGCAAAGAGAAGGAGAGAGAAGAUAUAGUAAAAGAGGAGGAGGAGGAGGAGGAAGAGGAGGAAGCUCUUGCUACUAUAAAUCUUGCAAACUACUACUAUUAUUACUACUAUUACUGCUACUACUACUACUACUACUACUACUACUACUACUACUAUUAUUACUACCACUACUGCUACUAUUACUACCACUACCACAUGCAUUUCACUAGAGUAAGGUCUGUGGUGGUGCUGUGGUGGUUCUGCUGCUGGUAUCUCAUUCCCUCCCUUAUUCUUGUUGUGGUUCUGUUGUCUCAUUCGACCAUCCUUGCUGUGGUUCCAAUGCACAUUCAUUCAUUCUAUUCCCGUCACUGCCUGUUGCUUGCCGCCCGCCUCGCCUGUGAAUGGAAGAAUGUGUGAACCAUCUGUAUGUCAUGGGAAGAAUGUGUGAACCA